UAUUGAGAUUGAAGUGAGAAAGGAGAGUCCUGUAGGAAAUGCGGCUGAGGAUAAUGGGUCGGUGGCAGAGGAAACUGAGAGUGUGAUUACUGUGAAUUGUUUAGACGAGUUUCACAGAGGAGUUGAGCAGUCGCCGGAGAGUUUUGUUAGACACGAGGCCUCGCCGGAGACGGUUACUGGGGUGGAAUUGUCACCUGAGGCUCCUGUGGUGUUUCCAAGAACGGUGGCAGCUAUGGCAUCCCCAUCUGAGGGUCUAGAAAAAACGAGUCUUUCCGAGGGUAAUUUUGAUCGGUCCAGUAUAGACAGUGGGAUUGAAAUUGGAAAUAAGAAGAGUGGAGUGAAGAAGAAGAAGAAGAGCAUUACAGGGAAAGACUGGUGGUGGAAGCAAGAUACUGGUGGGACGGAUUCAGGAGCGGUGAAGGAUUAUGUAAUGGAAUGGAUUGGGAGUGAGAUCAAGAAGGAGAGGCCAAAGACAGAGUGGAUUGGGGCUUCGUCGAGUUCAGGACCAGUAGGAAAAAUAGAAAAGAAGAAACAUAGGAAGCGAUUAGAUUGGUGGGUUUCAUUAGAUGAUGAAAAAAAUGGAAAGGAGGAAAAGAGGAGGCCUGCAAGAGAGUGGUGGAAGGAGGAGUAUUGUGAGGAGCUUGCUAGGAAGAAAAAGAAAAAGAAGAAGGAACAGGGCGGAAAGGGUUCAAUUAGUGAUGAUUGUCAUAGUGAGUCUUGGUGGCCAAGGGAUGAUGAAUUAUAUACGGCUAAAAAGAAGAAAAGGAGCAGGAGUAGGGGUAGUAAAAGUAGCAUGGAUUGGUGGCUGGAUGGAUUUAGUAGUGAGCUUCGGAGAGCUCGUAAGAAUAGUUACGAUUCUGCUAGUGGGGAUAUACCUAAAAGUGGUGGCAUCAGUAGCACUCCAAGCAUGAGAGGAACUGUAUGUUAUGUUGCACCAGAAUAUGGUAGCUGUGGGGAUCUAUCUGAAAAGUG
rnacentral:misc_RNA from 1 species